AUUGAACGCUGGCGGCAGGCUUAACACAUGCAAGUCGAGCGGGGGAAGGUAGCUUGCUACCGGACCUAGCGGCGGACGGGCGAGUAAUGCUUAGGACUCUGCCUAUUAGUGGGGGACAACAUCUCGAAAGGGAUGCUAAUACCGCAUACGUCCUACGGGAGAAAGCAGGGGAUCUUCGGACCUUGCGCUAAUAGAUGAGCCUAAGUCGGAUUAGCUAGUUGGUGGGGUAAAGGCCUACCAAGGCGACGAUCUGUAGCGGGUCUGAGAGGAUGAUCCGCCACACUGGGACUGAGACACGGCCCAGACUCCUACGGGAGGCAGCAGUGGGGAAUAUUGGACAAUGGGGGGAACCCUGAUCCAGCCAUGCCGCGUGUGUGAAGAAGGCCUUAUGGUUGUAAAGCACUUUAAGCGAGGAGGAGGCUACUUUAGUUAAUACCUAGAGAUAGUGGACGUUACUCGCAGAAUAAGCACCGGCUAACUCUGUGCCAGCAGCCGCCGUAA
rnacentral:rRNA from 1 species